CCCCACUCUUCUCCCCGCCAUCCCCAAUCUACUCCAGUGUCGCCUUCUGGGCUCUGCAGUUUUGUUUCAUCAUUCCCGGUGGGAGGGAUUACUGCAGUAAAACUGCAAUAUGAAGAACCGGAUAGAAAAUGAGAGACAGAGCAGUCAGUCCUGAACCUUCCAAAAUCACUGCACCUCCUUGACCUUCUUGAACUGCUGAAGUCUGUGCGGUGAAGUUGCUCCCAGAUUGCUGUUCCAUAAGGAGUUCCAGGAUUUUCAUCCAGUGGUGACAAGGGCGACCAGAACUGGACACAGUAUUUCAGAAGAGGCCUCAACUAUGUCCUGUAUGACCUCAACAUGAUGUCCCAACUCCUGUAAACAAUGAUCUGAGGGAUGAAGCACGUUAGAAGAGGACUUGCAGAUCGAAAACCCAAACCAAAUGAUACACCAAGAUCUAAGUGAGCCACUUUAUUCAUUCAGUACUGGAUAUUAAUGGGCUUUGAAUAUCUUGUACCUUCACUCUGGGUGUGAUGAUGGACUGACUGUGUGUUAGAAGGAGCUGGCUGCACUUUUCCUCAUGCUGAGGAAUCACCACAUUCUUUUUGGUUCCCACAAGAAUUGACUGUGCAUGAAAGAGAAAAGAACAUCUCCAGUAAUUUAAGGUCAGCCCCACAGCGGAAGUUACUCCAGCCGGUCUCCGGAUGAAAAUGAAACACCACACAGGAGGUGAGGAACCGACUUCUGCAACCAACCGCCGCCCUGCUGUAA